CGCGCAGACCGCCUUAUCGCUUCAACUUGUUGAAGAGGAAAGUCCGGACACCACAGAGUAGCAUAGCGGGUAACGCCCGCCCGUCGAAAGGCGAGGACAAGUGCAACAGAAAGCAGGUACAGGUAAUGCUGUAGUGAAACCAGGUAAACUCUAUGCGGUGAAAUUCCAAGUAUAUCGGCAUUUAAGGGCUACUCGUCCGUUGUCGAAGGGUAGGAAGCUUGAACCAAUGAGCAAUUGUUGGUCUAGAUAAAUGAUAAGGCCCCACCACAACAGUGGAGACAGAAUCCGGCUUACAGGUCUGCUUUUUUU
rnacentral:RNase_P_RNA from 1 species